GACGAACGCUGGCGGCGUGCUUAACACAUGCAAGUCGAACGGAAAGGCCCUGCUUUUGUGGGGUGCUCGAGUGGCGAACGGGUGAGUAACACGUGAGUAACCUGCCCUUGACUUUGGGAUAACUUCAGGAAACUGGGGCUAAUACCGGAUAGGAGCUCCUGCUGCAUGGUGGGGGUUGGAAAGUUUCGGCGGUUGGGGAUGGACUCGCGGCUUAUCAGCUUGUUGGUGGGGUAGUGGCUUACCAAGGCUUUGACGGGUAGCCGGCCUGAGAGGGUGACCGGCCACAUUGGGACUGAGAUACGGCACAGACUCCUACGGGAGGCAGCAGUGGGGAAUAUUGCACAAUGGGCGGAAGCCUGAUGCAGCAACGCCGCGUGCGGGAUGACGGCCUUCGGGUUGUAAACCGCUUUCGCCUGUGACGAAGCGUGAGUGACGGUAAUGGGUAAAGAAGCCCCGGCUAACUACGUG
rnacentral:rRNA from 1 species